UGCACCUGGUGGCGAGUGGCGAACGGGUGAGUAAUAUAUCGGAGCGUACCUUAUCGUGGGGGAUAACGCAGCGAAAGCUGCGCUAAUACCGCAUACGCCCUGAGGGGGAAAGCGGGGGACCGUAAGGCCUCGCGCGAUUAGAGCGGCCGAUAUCUGAUUAGCUUGUUGGUGGGGUAAAAGCCCACCAAGGCGACGAUCAGUAGCUGGUCUGAGAGGACGAUCAGCCACACUGGGACUGAGACACGGCCCAGACUCCUACGGGAGGCAGCAGUGGGGAAUUUUGGACAAUGGGGGCAACCCUGAUCCAGCAAUGCCGCGUGAGUGAAGAAGGCCUUCGGGUUGUAAAGCUCUUUUGUCAGGGAAGAAACAGCAGCUCUAACACAGUCUGCGAAUGACGGUACCUGAAGAAUAAGCACCGGCUAACUACGUGCCAGCAGCCGCGGUAAUACGUAGGGUGCAAGCGUUAAUCGGAAUUACUGGGCGUAAAGCGUGCGCAGGCGGUUAUACAAGACAGGCGUGAAAUCCCCGGGCUUAACCUGGGAAUGGCGUCUGUGACUGUAUGACUAGAGUGUGUCAGAGGGGGGUAGAAUUCCACGUGUAGCAGUGAAAUGCGUAGAUAUGUGGAGGAAUACCAAUGGCGAAGGCAGCCCCCUGGGAUAACACUGACGCUCAUGCACGAAAGCGUGGGGAGCAAACAGGA
rnacentral:rRNA from 1 species